rnacentral:lncRNA from 1 species
CUUGGGACAGAACAAGUGCAGGGAUUGAGGAACAAAACCAGCUGAAUCUCCCCUGCCUCCUGCCACAGCUCUGACUUCUGGGAUUCAAAGGAUUUAAUGUGGCACAGUUCCAUGAAGGACUGGUUUAUGGAUCUAGUUCUGGGUUUUAACCCCAGUCAGGCCUGGUUUUCUUGGGCUGCAGAAGGAGAACAAGCUCUGCUUGGCUCCUCAGACUGGAUGAACUGACCCCAAAUCCCCUGCAGAUCCUGUCUGACAUUUGGAAUAACACUGGAUGGAUGUUUAAUGGACAACUCAUUAAACUCAUUGCCAUGUGGAUUUAAAAAGACAAGGAAACUGCUUCUUUCCCUAAUUUUUCAUCUUUCCUGCUGCUGUAAAUAGAUUUAACAAUGAGACCAUCAGGAGUCUUUGCAAAUUUAAGUACUUACUGAAGCUUUUGGUCCCUGUGCUUCUGCCAGCUCUUCCAUUUCAGCCAGGACUUUAUGGCAGAUUUUACUUAUUCCCACUUGUUUGCAUGUCAGACCAGUUCCAGGAGGGAUGUGAUGGGAAGGAUUUUGUGAUUUUAGAUGAAAUUCUUGCUAGAAGGAGCUCCAGCACCAAGGAACACUGUUCAUCCUGGGACAAUGAGUGUCCAGGCAGAGAAAAUCCUCCCCUGGCCUGGGCUGCAUGGAACCACAGCAUCAGCCAUGGGAAGAUGCAGGUGAAGUGUAAAGAGGGAGGUAACAGAAAAUCAAAAGAUGAUUCUGAGAACAGAGGGAGAACAAAUGACAAUUUUUUUCUCUUCCUGCAGAUGAAAGAAGAGGAAAACCCAUGUUUCACUCACUCCAGAAGCAUCAGGAGACCCGGAAUCAUCAUCCAGACUCCAGCUUUAGAGCAGCUUCCCAAUGUUCCUAUCAGCACUUCAGUUUGUGUUCAUCAACACGAUGCCAUACAUCCACCUUUCCCACCAGGAUCUGCUCUCUUAGCCAGGAAAAUCAUCCUCACACACCAGCAUUCCCUGCAGGUGUUUGCAAAAUGAAGAGCUGAGUGCCAGAGGUGAGGAUCCAGUGGCUCAAACAAAGUGAGAUUUGGGCCAAAGAACCCUCCUGAUCCUGCUGCUGUGGCUCCUUCCUGCAUGCCAGGACCAUCACCACCUCUCCCCAUGUUUGAUGGGCACAGGGACUCAGGGUGGGUGUGCACUCCAGACAUCUUAUUUGACAUUUCAGUCACAAAUCCCUCGUGGCAUAAAAUGAGCACCUGAAGGGCUGCUGGGAUUCCUGGAGGAUUCACAGGAUGGGGAGGUUAAAGAUUUGUCAGGCAGCUCAUGGCCAGCUCCAAAACAGCAAAGGUCACAAAGCAGCAUCAGCCUCAGCUCAUUGUAUCAACACUCCUGUUUUUAGGCACUUUAUCAGGUGCAGCUUGCAGGAUUCCACACUCACCUGCUGUGCUGCUCCCAUCACAAACCACCAAAGGUUUGAAUUGCUUCAGUCCGUGUUACAAUCACAGAAUCAUUUGGGUUGGAAAAGAUCCUCAAGUCCAGCCAUUAAUGUAGCACUAACCCAUGAACCAAGUGCCACAUCCAUGUCCUUUGAAUCUCUCCAGGGAUGGUGACUCCACCACUGCCCCAGGCAGCUGUGCCAGUGCCUGACCACCUUUCCAGUGAAGAAUUUUUCCCAAUAUCCGAUCUAAACCUGUCUUGGCAUAACUUGAGGCUGUUUCCUCUCAUCCUGUCCCUGUUCCCUGGGAGCAGAGCCUGACCCCCACCUGGCUGGCCCCUCCUGUCAGGGAAUUGUGCAGAGCCUGAAGGUUCCCCCUGAGCCUCCUUUGCUCCCCAGCUCCCUCAGCUGCUCCUGGUGAGGAGCUCUGUUCUCUGUGAACACAAUCCAGCCCCUCAAUGUCUUUCUUGUUGGGAGGGGACCAGGACUGCCCCAGGACUGGAGGUGCCCCAGCAAUGCCCAUGGGGACAGUCACUGCCCUGGUCCUGCUGGCCACAGUGUUCCUGACAGGAUUUAUCACCAGCUGUAGCAUGGAGAAGGUGG